UCAAGGGUAGUUUAAAAAAAUAUUAAUUUUGGAGAUUAAAGAUAGAUAAAGAAGUCUCCCUUGAA
rnacentral:tRNA from 1 species